rnacentral:hammerhead_ribozyme from 1 species
GCACUGCUGAAGAGUCCCAAAAUAGGACGAAACGCUCGUCCAAUGC